GACGAAGGGGGCUAGCGUUGUUCGGAAUUACUGGGCGUAAAGCGUGUGUAGGCGGCCUUGCAAGUCGGAUGUGAAAGCCCCGGGCUCAACCUGGGAAUUGCAUUUGAGACUGCGUAGCUAGGGUGCGGAAGAGGGAAGCGGAAUUUCCGGUGUAGCGGUGAAAUGCGUAGAUAUCGGAAGGAACACCAGUGGCGAAAGCGGCUUCCUGGUCCAGCACCGACGUUCAGGCACGAAAGCGUGGGGAGCAAACAGG
rnacentral:rRNA from 1 species